UACGGAGGAGGCAAGCGUUAUCCGGAAUUAUUGGGCGUAAAGCGUCCGUAGGUGGCUCUUCAAGUCUGCUGUCAAAGACUGGGGCUUAACCCUGGAAAGGCGGUGGAAACUGAAGCGCUAGAGUGCGGUAGGGGUAGAGGGAAUUCCCGGUGUAGCGGUGAAAUGCGUAGAGAUCGGGAAGAACAUCGGUGGCGAAAGCGCUCUACUGGACCGCAACUGACGCUCAGGGACGAAAGCUAGGGGAGCGAAUGGG
rnacentral:rRNA from 1 species